CAGCCGCCGCGGGAAACGAAGGGGGCUAGCGUUGUUAGGAUUUACUGGGCGUAAAGGGCGCGUAGGCGGACUGAUAAGUCAGGGGUGAAAUCCCAAGGCUCAACCUUGGAACUGCCUUUGAUACUGUUUGUCUUGAGUUCGAGAGAGGUAAGUGGAACUGCAAGUGUAGAGGUGAAAUUCGUAGAUAUUCGCAAGAACACCAGUGGCGAAGGCGGCUUACUGGCUCGUAACUGACGCUGAGGAGCGAAAGCGUGGGGAGCGAACAGGAUUAGAUACCCCAGUAGUCCCUGUCUCUUAUACC
rnacentral:rRNA from 1 species